rnacentral:lncRNA from 1 species
GUAUUAUUGUACAUAAAAUCACACUUUUAUUAGCAAUAAUAAUACUUUUUAUCAUUGUUUUAUUUUUAUUCUGAAUGAAAACGUAAUAUUAUGACGUAUUUCCGGUGAAACAAGCCUCAGAACAUCCGGUCGGGCCGUGUUUCAUAUCCAGGGGUAUAUAGUAUCUAUGAUGUAACAAAUGUUUGUCUUUGCCUACACCCACUAACUUAUCUAGUUUCUAAUGUUUUUACUUUCCUUUUCUCUAACUGUCUUAUUUAUGUACUACUCUACUCUUAUUUAUAUUGGUAUGCAGCUUCUCUGUUGCAUAUCCAUCAGGCUACCCCUUUUCCUUCUUUCCCUCUGUCUCUCUAUCUCUCUUUUUACUACACCUGUAAAGUGUUAAAUAAUAAUAAUAAUAAUAAUAAUAAUAAUAAUAAUAAUAAAUAUAUCUAGGCAGCAGUAUUGUACCAUACCAUAUCACUUGACAUAAGUCACAUAUUAUCAUGCUAAGCAAAGAAACCACGCCUCUAUUAAUACCGGCAAAUAAAAUUUAUCAAGACUGUUAACAGUAUCUGAGCCAUCAAAAUAGGUGUUAGUUUUAAAGCUCUUUUGACUUUAGUCAGUGCAAAACAUGCAUGCACUAUAAAGCAAUGAAUUAAUAGAGAUGAAGCCUAUGAUUCAUUACUUUUAAUAGUACAUAAAUGCAAGAGCAACUGUGGCGAGUCUAAGCACCGUAGGUGUCUCAUCUUACUAUUAUUAAAAAUCCAUCCUUUAUCAAACUCUAAAGGAGACAAUGCUAUUUCCCAAGGAGAGCUUCAUUUUAAUGUGCAAAAAUAACUUUGUAAAAAUAUACAUGUGUCAUAGGUGUAGGAAUGUGGGGGUGGGCUGAAUCCCUCAACUUUUCAGCAUAGAUAUUAGCAUUAUGUACUCUUGAUAUUAGAGUAAAUGAAAGGGAUUGGAAACGGGUGCGUGGGCGUAGCCCAACCUCCAUUCAUUUGUAUUGUUACUAAGCAAGCAGAGGAGGGUUGGGAUUUUGUCACUAUUUUCAUGCUACUUUUCCUUCUUUCAGGAGCUAUAUCUGGCGAAGGACUGUUCUCAUUUCAGUGAAACUGAUGCAUCAAGAAGCUUGAUGUUUCCUCUCAACACUACUGUUAUCUAUUGUACAGAAAAUGUUAUAGUUUUAAUGAUACAGCCCAUUUUUACUCUUAAAAUGCCAUUUAUUUCAUUAUUCUCCCUUUUCUCAAAACGUGCCAAAGUAAAACUAGAAACCAUUAUAAUCAUAUGAAAGACCUUACACUUUCGAAAGUAAUUAUACAGGUUAGAGUUAGAAUCUAUAAAGUAUGAGUUUGUUACAAGAGCUAAAGUGUAUCGAAAAAAGUUGAUUUUGUUGUACCUAUAACUGUUUGCAAAAUAGCUUUACAGAGACAAAAAACUUGCUGUAGGUAGCUCUAAAAAUUAUAUGUGCAAUAGGCUAUAGAUCAUAAGCAAGCGCUGUCCUGGAGUGACACAAGUUUCCUUCGAAUUCCUUGCAGGACAGCUUCAUGAAUGGAGGACAUGAUGGUUGUCACGUGGUAACCCAACUAGCAUUUCCUGUUGCUACGCCCCGUUUCCAAUCCCUUUCAUUUACUCUAUUAUCUAUG